UACGUAGGGUGCGAGCGUUAAUCGGAAUUACUGGGCGUAAAGCGUGCGCAGGCGGUUAUGUAAGACAGGUGUGAAAUCCCCGGGCUCAACCUGGGAAUUGCAUCUGUGACUGCAUAGCUAGAGUACGGUAGGGGGGGAUGGAAUUCCGCGUGUAGCAGUGAAAUGCGUAGAUAUGCGGAGGAACACCGAUGGCGAAGGCAAUCCCCUGGACCUGUACUGACGCUCAUGCACGAAAGCGUGGGGAGCAAACAGG
rnacentral:rRNA from 1 species